CCUACGGGUGGCAGCAGUGAGGAAUAUUGGUCAAUGGCCGUAAGGCUGAACCAGCCAAGUCGCGUGAAGGAAGAAGGAGCUAUGGUUUGUAAACUUCUUUUGUAGGGGAAUAAAGUUAUGCACGUGAGGAUGUUUGCGUGUACUCUAUGAAUAAGCAUCGGCUAACUCCGUGCCAGCAGCCGCGGUAAUACGGAGGAUGCGAGCGUUAUCCGGAUUUAUUGGGUUUAAAGGGUGCGUGGGUUGUUUUUUAAGUCAGCGGUAAAAGCGUGGGGCUCAACCCCAUCCAGCCGUUGAAACUGGGGAUCUAGAGUGUGCGAGAGGUAUGCGGAAUGCGUGGUGUAGCGGUGAAAUGCAUAGAUAUCACGCAGAACCCCGAUUGCGAAGGCAGCAUACCGGUGCACAACUGACGCUGAGGCACGAAAGCGUGGGUAUCGAACAGGAUUAGAUACCCCAGUAGUC
rnacentral:rRNA from 1 species